CUGAUUGUGAGAUGUAGGAGGCGAAGGGCGGAUCUAAUGCAGGUAAAAACAAAGAUGGCAGACAAUGCAAGUUCACUCACAGCCUGUGGGGAAGAGGACACGUGUUUGACCGAGGAACACGGGAAUGGACUCAGGAAAUCGUGAACUGCGUCAUGUGUGUUCGAACUCCAUCUGUUCAGAGACUUGGUGCAUUCUGAACAUAACUGCAAUGUUCUGCAUAUCCAGAGGUGUUACAAGGAUCGAGCAGUGGCUUCACUACUGAAAAAUAUCUGACUGCUGCACUGCUGCCGCUGCUGCUGCACAAUUCUUCACCCAUGGCUUCACACAGAUCAAAUUUAACAUGAUUUUCAUAUUGUCUGAUUUCUAUCUCUUUGAGGAGUGGAACGAAUACACGUCGACACAAGCCAGUUCAUCUGUUUGAACGAUCUACGGCGGCUGCCUAGAACAUAUUGCUCAAUGCAUGCUAAAACUGGCUUCGAGAUUAUGAUUAAAAUCCAAUAUUGUGCAUGUUUCCCAUGUUAAAUUUGCAGAAUAACAAUUUUAGAUCUUGAAUUGGCAGCAGAUAAUACAAAUGCAGCCUGUGGGGAAAUAGAGCCAUUUGCUCAGGAAUAGUGCAGGCAGCUCCAGGGUAUGGAACAAAUAUGUGUUUGAAGCUUUUAUAUUUCUGCGCAUGGGUUUGAACAGUAGUGUUACGGGCUAUGAGGAUGCACCGGAGUUCAAACCUUCAAGGUGAAAGCGGGUUUCCGCUCCAAAGUAAAGGCAAAACUGUUCAAACCUAGCAAGGAGGC
rnacentral:lncRNA from 1 species